rnacentral:misc_RNA from 1 species
GAAAUGCGAUAAGUAAUGUGAAUUGCAGAAUUCAGUGAAUCAUCGAAUCUUUGAACGCACAUUGCGCCCGCCAGUAUUCUGGCGGGCAUGCCUGUUCGAGCGUCAUUUCAACCAUCAAGCCCCGGGCUUGGGUUGGGGACCUGCGGCUGCCGCAGGCCCUGAAAACCAGUGGCGGGCUCGCUGUCACACCGAGCGUAGUAGAUUCUCAUCUCGCUCAGGGCGUGCUGCGGGUUCCGGCCGUAAAACAGCCUUAUUUUACCCAAGGUUGACCUCGGAUCAGGUAGGAAGACCCGCUGAACUUAAGC